rnacentral:rRNA from 1 species
GCAGUAGGGAAUAUUGGGCAAUGGACGCAAGUCUGACCCAGCCAUGCCGCGUGUAGGAAGACGGCCCUCUGGGUUGUAAACUACUUUUAUCAGGGAAGAAGAUUAAGCUUGCGAGCUUACGUGACGGUACCUGAGGAAUAAGCACCGGCUAACUCCGUGCCAGCAGCCGCGGUAAUACGGAGGGUGCAAGCGUUGUCCGGAUUUAUUGGGUUUAAAGGGUGCGUAGGUGGCCUUUUAAGUCAGCUUUGAAAGCUGGUCGCUUAACGAUCAGGGGUGGGUUGAUACUGGAAGGCUUGGAUCAGGUGGCGGUUUCUGGAACGGGUCGUGUAGCGGUGAAAUGCAUAGAUAUGACCCAGAACUCCGAUUGCGAAGGCAGGAGGCUACGCCUGUAUUGACACUGAGGCACGAGAGCAUGGGGAGCAAACAGGAUUAGA